rnacentral:rRNA from 1 species
GGCUCAGGAUGAACGCUGGCGGCGUGCCUAAUACAUGCAAGUCGAACGCGGGCACUUGUGCCCGAGUGGCGAACGGGUGAGUAAUACAUAAGUAACCUGGCCUUUACAGGGGGAUAACUGCUGGAAACGGCAGCUAAGACCGCAUAGGUAGGGACACUGCAUGGUGACCGUAUUAAAAGUGCUGCAAGGCACUGGUAGAGGAUGGACUUAUGGCGCAUUAGCUGGUUGGUGAGGUAACGGCUCACCAAGGCGACGAUGCGUAGCCGACCUGAGAGGGUGACCGGCCACACUGGGACUGAGACACGGCCCAGACUCCUACGGGAGGCAGCAGUAGGGAAUUUUCGGCAAUGGGGGGAACCCUGACCGAGCAACGCCGCGUGAAGGAAGAAGGAAUUCGUUCUGUAAACUUCUGUUAUAAAGGAAGAAAGACGGAUGGAGGAAAUGACAUCCGAGUGACGGUACUUUAUGAGAAAGCCACGGCUAACUACGUGCCAGCAGCCGCG